rnacentral:rRNA from 1 species
AUGAGCGCUGGCUACAGGCUUAACACCUGCAAGUCGAGGGGAAACGACGGGGAAGCUUGCUUCCCCGGGCGUCGACCGGCGCACGGGUGAGUAACGCGUAUCCAACCUGCCUCUGACUGAGGGAUAACCCGUCGAAAGUCGGCCUAAUACCUCAUGGUAUCGUCUGCGGGCAUCCAACGACGAUUAAAGAUUUCAUCGGUCAGGGAUGGGGAUGCGUCUGAUUAGCUUGUUGGCGGGGUAACGGCCCACCAAGGCUACGAUCAGUAGGGGUUCUGAGAGGAAGGUCCCCCACAUUGGAACUGAGACACGGUCCAAACUCCUACGGGAGGCAGCAGUGAGGAAUAUUGGUCAAUGGGCGAGAGCCUGAACCAGCCAAGUAGCGUGCAGGAAGACGGCCCUAUGGGUUGUAAACUGCUUUUAUGCGGGGAUAAAGUGAGGGACGUGUCCCUCAUUGCAGGUACCGCAUGAAUAAGGACCGGCUAAUUCCGUG